rnacentral:rRNA from 1 species
CAGUCGCCGCGGGAAUACGUAGGUGGCAAGCGUUGUCCGGAAUUAUUGGGCGUAAAGCGCGCGCAGGCGGCCUAUCCAGUCUGUCUUAAAAGUUCGGGGCUCAACCCCGUGAUGGGAUGGAAACUAGUAGGCUAGAGUAUCGGAGAGGAAAGCGGAAUUCCUAGUGUAGCGGUGAAAUGCGUAGAUAUUAGGAAGAACACCAGUGGCGAAGGCGGCUUUCUGGACGAAAACUGACGCUGAGGCGCGAAGGCCAGGGGAGCGAACGGGAUUAGAUACCCGGGUAGUCCCUGUCUCUUAUAAA